rnacentral:tRNA from 1 species
GGCCAGGUAGCUCAGUCGGUAGAGCAGUGGACUGAAAAUCCUCGUGUCGGCAGUUCGAUUCUGUCCCUGGCCA